rnacentral:lncRNA from 1 species
AUUUGUGACAAUUUUAACAAAAUUUCACACACGAACUGUAUGAACUAAAAUAUUUUUUUUAAAAAAGUAAGAAAAUGUGGUCUGGGGCUGCAGCUCAGCAACAGGGCACUUACCUAGCAUUUGUGAGGAACUGGGUUUGAUCCACAGCACCACAUAAUUUUUUUUUAAAAAAAAUUAAGAAAAUGUUAUAUUGUCAUGAAUGCACAAAAUAUAUGUAGAAAUGGUCUAUUUUAUAACUUCCUACCAUAAAAUACGUACACAAAAUUAUUAUAAAAAUCUAAAAGUCUGUGUUUCAAUGCAUAAAUUAUUGCAGAUUUUAUAUUGGGUUUUUUGUUGUUGUUGUUGUUGUUUGUUUGUUUAUUUGUUUUUGUGGUGCUGGGGAUUGAACCCAGGGCCUUGGAACUUCGAGGCAAAAACUCUACCAAUUGAGCUAUAUUCCCAGCCCCAGAUUUUAUGCUGUUUUGCAAAAAAGUGGGGGUACAAUCAUUAUGUGAAGCUUUUAUUUAAAGGAAAAAAAAAUGUGUUGGCCAGCACAGUAGUACAUGCCUGUAAUCCCAGAAGCUUCAUGAGUUCAAAGCUAGUCUCAGCAAUUUAGUGAGGCCCUAAGCAACUCAGUGAGACCCUGUCUUCAAAUAAGAUACAAAAUAAGGCUGGAAAUGUGGCUCAGUGGUUGAGUGCCCCUGAGUUCAAUCUCCAGUUCCAAAACAAACAAAUGAACGAAAAACAUUGUGUCAAUAUUACUUAAAAAUCACUCAUUACUAACCUGUCUUUGGUGCAAAUUAGAAUAAAUGAAAUAAUUGUGACUAUAUGUUAAAAUUGAAUAAUACAAACUGAUACAUAUCAUUUCUUCAUGACAGUUUGGCAAACAUUUUUCUGGUCUGAAAAAAAAAAAGCACAUUAGUUGUUGAUUUAUGCAUUAUAGUUGAAAAAUCACACUUGAGAAAAUUUACUACAGUGUUGUGAAGUAUGGACUUUAGUUUUUCUUUUGUGUCUGAAGAUUCUGCACCAGUAUCUUUGGUUUCAUUAUCUGUGGCACUGUUCUCAGCACCAUUCAUAUAAGAUGUGUUUACUAUUAGUACUGUACCACUAGAAACAAACGAUAUAAGUUGACUUUGGGAAAUGUACUGUUGUGUGCAUGUGCUGCAAAUUCUAGGCUCCAGGUGAUAUGCCGGUGACAAGAUCUGCUUUCUCACAUGUUGAAGUUUGAACACUAGAGAAGCACGUCCAGGCAAGCAUAUAAAGUAGGGUUUAUUUAAAAGAGAUAGCAUAGAUUUCUUCCAGGAGGGAGAAGGGGACCAUAGCUGGUGUCCUGGUAUCCACAGAAGUGAAAUGUUCUGCCUUUUUUAUAUGUCCUAGGCUUCCUUUGUUCUCCUGCUCUCUUCCCCUUAUCUUUGUCCUUCCCGAGUAUGUGACUAGGCCCAGGAAUGCUCAGUGGGAGGGCCAAUAGUGGGAAACAGGUGGGCCAAGGGGGAAGGGCAGGAUGGUGAAGCCCUGAAAACAUUAAUUAAUGACUUUUUUUUUAAAAUUUUAUUUACUUGUUUUUAGUCAUACAUGACAGUAGAAUGCAUUUUGAUAUAUAAUACAUACACGGAAUGUACAUACAUCAAUCAUAUUGUCUAUUCUAUUCUGCUGCCCUUCCUAUCCUCCCUACUCCUCCACUCCUCUCCCAUCCUUUCUCUCUAUCCAAUCUAAUGUGACACACUUUUUUUUUCUUUUUCUCAUCACAACAUCAUAUAUAUAUUCUGUAUAAACAAUGAGGUUCUCCUUCCAUCUUCUUUGCAACUCCCCUUCUCCCUCUUUUUCCCUCCCACCUCUCUUCCCUAUUUAGUGGUAGUCUUCUUCUCAUGCUCUUCCUCCCUAUCCCAUUUUGAGUCACCCCACUUAUAUCAGAGAAGACAUUCGGCAUUUGUUUUUUAGGGAUUGGCUAACUUCACUUAGCAUAAUCUGCUCUAAUGCCAUCCAUUUGCCUGCAAAUGCCAUGAUUUUAUUAUUUUUUAGUGCUGAGUAAUAUUCCAUUGUGUAUAAAUGCCACAUUUUUUAAUCCAUUCAUUUAUUGAAGGGCAUCUAGGUUGGUUCCACAUUCUAGUUUAUUGUGAAUUGUGCUGCUAUAAACAUUGAUGUGGCUGUGUCCCUGUAGUAUGCUCUUCUUAGGUCUUUUGGGUAUUGUCCGAGAAGGGGAAUAGCUGGGCCAAAUAGUGGUUCCAUUCCCAGCUUCCCAAGGAAUCUCCAUACUGCUUUCCAAAUUAGCUGCACCAAUUUGCAGUCCCACCAGCAAUGUAUGAGUGUACCUCUCCCCCACCCCCAUCCUCGCCAGCACUUAUUUUUGUUUGACUUCAUAAUGGCUGCCAUUCUUAUUGGAGUGAGAUGGUAUCUUAGAGUAGUUUUAAUUUGCAUUUCUCUGAUUGCUAGAGAUGGUGAGCAUUUUUUCAUGUAUUUGUUGAUUGAUUGUAUAUCCUUUUCUGAGAAGUUUCUGUUCAAGUCC